rnacentral:rRNA from 1 species
UACGUAGGGUGCGAGCGUUGUCCGGAAUUAUUGGGCGUAAAGAGCUUGUAGGCGGUCUGUCGCGUCUGCUGUGAAAAUCCGGGGCUCAACCCCGGACUUGCAGUGGGUACGGGCAGACUAGAGUGUGGUAGGGGAGACUGGAAUUCCUGGUGAUAGCGGUGAAAUGCGCAGAUAUCAGGAGGAACACCAACGGCGGAAAGGCAGCACUCGUGGGCUGGAACUGAACGCUGAGGAAGCGGAAAGCGUCGGGUAGCAAACAGG